rnacentral:rRNA from 1 species
UACGUAGGGGGCAAGCGUUAUCCGGAUUUACUGGGUGUAAAGGGAGCGUAGACGGCGAUGCAAGUCUGAAGUGAAAGGCGGGGGCCCAACCCCCGGACUGCUUUGGAAACUGUAUGGCUGGAGUGCAGGAGAGGUAAGUGGAAUUCCUAGUGUAGCGGUGAAAUGCGUAGAGAUCAUACAGAACACCGAUUGCGAAGGCAGCUUACCAAACUAUAUCUGACGUUGAGGCACGAAAGCGUGGGGAGCAAACAGG